UGCGUAGGCGGCGCGGUAAGUCGGAUGUGAAAUCUCGGAGCUUAACUCCGAAACUGCAUUCGAUACUGCCGUGCUUGAGGACUGGAGAGGAGACUGGAAUUUACGGUGUAGCGGUGAAAUGCGUAGAUAUCGUAAGGAAGACCAGUGGCGAAGGCGGGUCUCUGGACAGUUCCUGACGCUGAGGCACGAAGGCCAGGGAGGCAAACG
rnacentral:rRNA from 1 species